rnacentral:rRNA from 1 species
GACGAACGCUGGCGGCGUGCUUAACACAUGCAAGUCGAACGGUGAACGAGGGAGCUUGCUCCCUCCGGAUCAGUGGCGAACGGGUGAGUAACACGUGAGCAAUCUGCCCCGAACUCUGGGAUAAGCGUUGGAAACGACGUCUAAUACCGGAUACGACGCGGGAGGGCAUCCUCUCCGCGUGGAAAGAACUUCGGUUCGGGAUGAGCUCGCGGCCUAUCAGCUUGUUGGUGAGGUAACGGCUCACCAAGGCGACGACGGGUAGCCGGCCUGAGAGGGUGACCGGCCACACUGGGACGGAGCAACGGCCCAGACCCAGCGGGGGGGAGGCGGGGGGGAUGAUGGCAAAUGGGGCGCAGGCCGGAUGCAGCAAGGCGGGGGGAGGAGGGCCGGCUUUGGGUUGGAAAACCUCUUUAAGCGGGAAAGAAGGGAAAGGGAGGGUCCCGAAAAAAAAGGCCCGGACAAACAAGGUC